UACGGAGGGGGCUAGCGUUGUUCGGAAUUACUGGGCGUAAAGCGCACGAAGGCGGAUUGGAAAGUCAGGGGUGAAGUCCCGGGGCUCAACCCCGGAACUGCCUUUGAAACUCCCAGUGUUGAGGUCGAGAGAGGUGAGUGGAAUUCCGAGUGUAGAGGUGAAAUUCGUAGAUAUGCGGAGGAACACCAGUGGCGAAGGCGGCUCACUGGCUCGAUACUGACGCUGAGGUGCGAAAGCGUGGGGAGCAAACAGG
rnacentral:rRNA from 1 species